rnacentral:misc_RNA from 1 species
GGCGGAGGUACUGGUGGUCGAGCGUCAGAAAAGUUAACCCAAACCACGUAGUCAUAUCGAGUCGAUAAAAAUCACAUCCUGACCACACUGGAUCGAGCCACGACGUACAUAUAUAGAGCAAGACGACCUACAAGAAGCUUGAUACCAAAGACAAGCCAAAAAGCCCGACAAACAAUAACAGAUGUGCUCGCUUACAUGUUGCACUCGAUCCCACAGUAGCACCCGUGAAGAUCAUGG